AUGUCUCUCCUCAUCAGACACGCAUCACACGCAUUAACCUUUCGCCUUUUACUAAAGGGUGUCGUGGGGAGGGACAUAUACAACAGGUCAAUUUUUGUGAGGCUCCGCCUGAUUGGGUUG